rnacentral:misc_RNA from 1 species
GUAGGGGGCUAUGCCCCCGAAAGGAUGUAGACCAGCCAGAAUUGCAGCCCGUUGGACGGAUGAAUCAUUGAGGGCGCUUCUCCUGCCAGACCCGGCAGGCGUGGAGCCCCAAGUGACUUCCUAUGUAAAUGAAGCUACAUGAAUGGCUGGCAUGCCCUAGUUCUAUAACCCUUGUAUAUGAGUACUCCUGUUUCCUCGGCAAGCUUGCUUGCCAAUGGGGACCUUAUCAAACCUUUUUAUGUUGUUGUAACCGUAACCAAACAAAUAAUCAAAACUUUCAACAACGGAUCUCUUGGUUCU